AACGAACGUUGGCGGCCUGGAUUAGGCAUGCAAGUUGAGCGUACCCCGCAAGGGGGAGCAGCGUAAGGGGCAGUAAGGCGUAGGUACCUACCCCGGGGUCGGGCAUAGCCUGUAGAAAUACAGGGUAAUUCCCGAUGACCUCGUGAGAGCAAAGAUUCAUCGCCCCGGGAGGGCCUACGUGAUAUUAGCUAGUUGGUGGGGUAACGCCCACAAGGCGAAGAUGUCUAGCGGGUGUGAGAGCACGACCCGNGCCACUGGCACUGAGACACUGGCCAGACACCUACGGGUGGCUGCAGUCGAGGAUCUUCGGCAAUGGGGGCAACCCUGACCGAGCAAGGCCGCGUGUGCGAUGAAGGCC
rnacentral:rRNA from 1 species